AUUGCCUCUUCACCUGAUAAGUUCUGAUGGCUGGUGCAAUCCAGUGGUGAUGUGAGAUUAAACUCCAGUUUAGGAAACAGGGUUCUUCAUGUGAAUGAUUCUGUGCCGAAAACAUGGGGCAACU
ensembl:snoRNA SNORA65 small nucleolar RNA, H/ACA box 65